rnacentral:lncRNA from 1 species
CUCCAUAAUAUUAGUACUAUAUGGCUGAGGUGUGUAGUAAGCUGUACCAUCUAGGUUUGUGUAAGUACACUCUAUGACAUUCUCAUGACAACAAAAUCACCUAACGACACAUUUCUCAGAACAUAUCCCCGUCGUUAAGUGAUCCAUGGCUGUGGUCCACUAGAUUGACUGCUUCCUUUCCCAUCCUCAGACACACUAGCUAGGCAGGACUUAGAGAGGCAAAAGGUUCAAGAAUAAGAAGGUAGUUUAAAAAGCCAAAUUGUUAUACACUGAACCAUAUCCAAGUUGUCUACCACCAGCACCAACACCAUCCACGAGAAAUUAGCUGAAUUCACCCAUUCUCCCUUUCACCAGCCCAUUCAACCUUUCUUUUUGUGACUUGUUUUCUCCUUCAAUACAUCCUUGAAGUUAUCUGAAUUUAAAUUUUGUAAGUUAUUUCAAACCUAUUAAAGCUGUGUGUGUGUGUUGUGUGUAUGUGUACAUACUGGGGGAGGAAUUCAAUGUGUGAUUUUUCCUAUUCUAGUCCCUACGUAUCUCCGAAUAUACAAUACAGGUAGACAGCGAAUAAAAUUCAACUAUGUAUGGCCAUCAUUUACCUAUAAAACACAGGGAACAAAAAUGUAAAUAUUGAACCUAUGGGUCAUGUGUCCCAACUGUGAACACCAAGUGGUGAAUGUCAGGGAUUUAUACGUCACAGAGGAAAUCACAGUGGUUUCCAGCACAGCAUUCCUGUGCUGGGGCAGCAAGGCCAGCACCCCUGAAGCCACAGGAUACUUUUUCAGAAUCCCUAGUGAGAUGCUUACAGAUAGAUCCCCAUGUCUGUGCCAUUGAUUCUACGGCGUUUCAGCAGGCCUCCAAAGACCUGCCAGUCAAACCCGUGUCUCUUUCUGGAUUUACCUUGUUGAAGGAACAAUUUGUGAGCUCCAUGCAUGGAAAUGGGUGCCCCUCUGCAGGAGAGCGCUCUGAAAGAAUGAGAGGAUUACUGACUCUCCUUUGUGGCUGGGGUGCAACAGAAACAUUUGAUGAUCAAUAGAAGACUCUAUAAAUAAUGAACAGAACCCACAGAACUGUGCUUGGACUCCUGAAGCCUGGAAAUGCCUGCCACAUAUUGCGUCUCCGCCAAGACUCAGCCUAGGGUGGCCUGUGCACCUAGGGACAAUGCACAAUGCUGAAGCCCAAACUGGCCACAAAGGUGCAGGAGGUCCCCAGCAAGGAUGCUCAAGCCCAAACCUCAUGCUGGAGCAAAUCAGGCUGGGGUGCUGAUGACGUCUGAUGCCCAAGACCAACUGAAACAUUCCAACCAACAUCAACCCUAAACCUCAGUUAGUGCCCAAAGUUCUGCAGAUGCCAUUUCUCUGCCUAAAGCUCUCUGUCUUUUAUUCAAGACAGGGAAAUGGGCACCUCCUCAAUCUUCACACACAAAAAGCAACUGCAAGGUGAUCACAAACUUAUUCCAACACAAAUGACUACUUCUGUUUGCAUGAAUCCCAAUUUCAAAUGUAUAAAGGAAUUGAGAAACUUUGGGGAGCAACACUCCAGAAUCCCCUGAACCCUCUUAUUACAAUUUUUUCUUAUAAAAAUAAAAAUAUCUUUAAAAAAGGUGAAAUCUAAAUU